UUUGAUAAAGGAAGUCACUAUUCUAGGGCACAUACAUACACUCUUGAGAAAGUAACAAAGAUAUUCACAAGAGAAAUAAUUCAGAUUUCAUGUCAGAGAAAAAUCUCUGUCACUAAACAAUUUACUAGCCAUGGAUUAAUUUAUACGAUUUGAAUGACUGGUAAUAUGACUAAUAUAGUACUGCAUUGAUCAAUUUAAUCAAUGUUUAUAUGACUGUCAUUGACCUAAACAUACUUAUAAUUAACGCUUUAAGUGUUUUGGUUUAGAUUUUUCCUUUUUAUUUUUGAUAAUAUAGUAAAUGGAUGGGGGAGAAACAAUGAACUUAACGUUAAUUCAUAUGAUCAUCAUUUUAGGCUUUGUCAUUGUUGUUCGAGUUGAAACAAUAAACCGUUUAAACCAGCAUAAACUAUAAAAUGUUCUACGAUUAGGAGUUGGACUGUCUGAAAAUAAAUAACUUUUAAAUUUUUCGAGGUU